GGAUGAGAAUCUUCGUCAAUGGGGGAAACCCUGAACGAGCGACGCCGCGUGUGGGAUGAAGGCCUUUGGGUUGUAAACCACUGUCAGGGGGGAUGAAACCGCAAGGUUGACAGAGCCCCAGAGGAAGCACGGGCUAAGUUCGUGCCAGCAGCCGCGGUAAUACGAACUGUGCGAACGUUAUUCGGAAACACUGGGCUUACAGGGUGCGUAGGUGGCCGGACAAGUCAGGUGUGAAAUCCCUCAGCUCAAC
rnacentral:rRNA from 1 species